UGAGUAACACGUAUGCAACCUGCCUGCCACAGCCGGAUAAUCGGGAGAAAUUCCGUCUAAUACGGCAUAAUGCAUCGACGGGACAUCCUGUUGGUGCCAAAGGUUGAUUCCGGUGGCGGAUGGGCAUGCGUCGCAUUAGUUAGUUGGCGGUGUAACGGACCACCAAGACGACGAUGCGUAGGGGUUCUGAGAGGAAGGUCCCCCACACUGGUACUGAGACGCGGACCAGACUCCUACGGGAGGCAGCAG
rnacentral:rRNA from 1 species